ensembl:lincRNA
AUGCCCUUGGACUCUGGCCUUAGACACCCUUCUUCCCCAGGGAGAACAUUUCAGAACAGCGGAGGGAGGACGCUGCGACCCCAAGCAGGAGUCCCUGGCCGGCCUCGGCCCGACUACUCGGUCUGCUUCCUGUGGAAGAUGGACAGGACCAGAAGUCCUGGCCCUCAGCUUCAGCAAACCCGUGUGAAAGUUCUCAAGACGCCCACGAGCGGAAAGUGCACGCCCCCCUCCCACCGCCAGCCCAGUCAUACUCGGCAGCGCUGCUCGUCCCCUGCGCCGGGUUCCAUUCGGCCGUGUGCGUCGAAAUGAGUGAUGACAGAGCCCUCUGCAGCCGCUGGAACUUUCACCCAGGGCACUGUAGCUGCCGCUCGCUAGGACCCGACCUGGCGCAUUUACAUACAGGCUGUCACUCCGAAAGCCCCCGACCAGGGGAUUUCCGGGAUGUAAGCAGAGGGUGCCUUUGGGCCUUGGAAUGCCGGGUCUGAGCGCCCAUCCAGCAAGGCGGGGUGUAGCCACUCAGGCCUCCUCUCCCCGUGUGCCACGGGGCGGCUCAUCUACAACAGGUGCUCCGCGUGACAGCUCCUCCACGAUGGGCUGGGAAUAAAUACCUAGAUGAGGAAGUCAGGGCCCCUGCGCUCCUGGAGCUCGGAGCCUGCCUGGUGAAGGCAAUGGACACGAGCGCUUGGAUAAUGUCAGUCCAUCGUAGAAUAGGUACCGGGACUCAGAGGAGGGGCUUCUAAGCUGGGGUUGGUGGGGGAAGGCUUCCGGAAGGUGGUAAUGAUGAAGUGGAGUCUUCAACAUUAAAACACUUUUAAAAAGUAUUGUUUUUCCCCUCUAGUUACAAAAGAAAUACAUUGCAUUGCAAAGAAUUUAAACGUAACAAAAAUAUGUGCUCCUUUAGAGAAAGUUCAGGAAGAGAGAAGGAGAAAGAAAACUUUAAUAGUAGGAUUUUUUGCCAAUUGGAGUUUGUGGCUAUUUUCCUGAAAAGGAAGUCCUCUCUGUAUAAGCACAUAUAUGCGAGUGUGUGAGUGGUGCACGAGUGUGCAUAAGUGUGCAUGCAUGUGCAGGGAUGUGCGCGUGUGCGUAUGUGAGGAGGUGAAGUAGAGCUGAGACCAUGUCCCUGGGUCUGAGCCUCUUUAUGAUAGCACCAGCCAGGGUGAGAGAUCAGCCAGCCACUUUCUACACCUUCACCUGUGAGACCUCUUUUUUGCCACCUGGUUUACCAGGUUUUCAUCUUGGGUUGUUGGUGUCCUGCAACUUUGGGGGUCUCAUCUCUGCCCAAGGCUCUAGGUGGUGAUUUAUCAUUAUCAAGGUAUUAUCAAAGUAUUUUCCUAAACAAAAUUGCAAUCUCCCAGAAAAGAAUUAUUAGAGUAACUUUAAGAUGUUAACAAUAUUUAACCUGUUAUCUAUUUGAAUGCCAACAAGAGUUCACAUUUAUUGAAGACUUUCUUUGAGCCAGGUGUAGGCUGAGUUCUCCAUUUGUUACCUCAUAACGUACAUCCUCACAACAACCUUAUGAAGUAGAUAUUUUAUUAUUCCCAUUUUACAGAUGAAGAAACUAAGAUUAUUACUUACUCAAGCUACAUAGCUAAUAGUUGGCACAGCCUGGAUUCAAAUGCAUUUCUCUCUGAUUCCUACGUCUGUGCUCAUGAACGUAAUACCACACCAC